rnacentral:lncRNA from 1 species
UCUCAGUGUGACCAACACUCUUAAAUAUCGGCCAUUUGGCACCCAAAAAAACCAACAAAACAAAACAAAAAACUUAAGCUUUGAUGUUAUUCCAUAAGAGGAUGAUGGAUUGUUUAAAGAUUAUUUUAUAAGGUUCCUCAGAUCAGAAAGAAAAAAAGGGGGGGGGGAAUAAUUUCAGUUAACAGCUAGGAGAAAUGUAGGGUAAUUUUUUUUUUGUUCUGAGAUGUAAAGAAGUGGACAGAUAAGGAGAUUUAAUAUCAAACGUUACUUGGCAUCUUCCAGGGGACAAGGAGAGCAGCGGCUAUUAGAAAAUUGAUUCUUAUGGUUCCUGUGUUCUUUGUCUUUUCUUCUUUAUAACCCCCAAGGACCGCCAUCAGCAACACAGUAUUCCUUUCCUAUACUCUUCCUUUUAUCCCUGGCUUUCUUUGGUCCCCCAGAAGAAAUCUGCUCUCUGAGGAUUCACAAUGGUGUGUAUUUUAUUUUUACAGUGCCAGGAAGAGAGAAGGGACAUUUUUAUUUUUCUGGAGUUAGGUCUGUGCUCUCUGACAGGAACUGGCAUUACAGUGCCAGGCAAGUCUCCACACUCACAGUGGUCUAGGUGAGCCAGUACCUGCCUAAAACCCAGGGGCAACUGUCAGGAUGCCAACCAUGUCCCGGGGGAGCAAGGACCCAAGCUUCCAAAUCUUAUUCUCUAAAGAAGAUGUGAAACCUGGAUUUUUAUAUGAAACCUACCUAUUUUUAAAAAGUUGGCACAGUUAUUUUUAAAACAUUAUGUAGGCCAACAAAGCCUGCCUGUGGGCCGCCAGUCUGUUCCUUCUGUCUUAGAGAGAGUCAUUGUUCCCCACUGUAUCUGUCUGUCUUUCCCUGCAAACUCUCUUUCUUCAUGACUGCCACUGACAGGUGCAUUAAGCAAGUUCUGACAGGAACUUCACCCGUCCAAAGGUGCACAGCUGUCUGUUACCCUGUGACUCCCUCCUAGCUGGGACCCCAGGCCCUGUCACCUUGCUGGGUUGUCCCUACAGUCCUGUCUUCUCAACAUUCUCCAAGUGCAGAGCCAUCCUGGUCCUAGUCAGCACUCUCCUCCGCUUUAUCUGACACAAAUCCCUUCUCUCCAGGUGCCAUGUCUUCUAGACUCUCAAGAGAGCAGAAUGAGAUGAGAUGAGUCCCGCUCCCCCAUCUCCAUGCUGGCCUCAGUGGACUGAUGGCCCUACUUAGCUACAAAACAUCACCUCAAAGAGAUAGGGUUCCAUAGCUUGUUGACCUGCCAUGGUUGGGUCUCUGGGGCGUGGUUGGGUCGCUCAGGCAGCUGAGAUGGAGUAACAAAGAGCUUCUGACACCACAGCAGCCAACAUAGAAACUGUCCUAAGACUGAAGAGGGCUGUCUCCCAGUAGGAGACAUGAACCCCAGUACAUAUUAGAGAGAAUCAGCUCAGCAGUCCCCCCUCCCACCCCUCCAGUCUCAGGCCUCCCCACAGCCAAGAAAACCAGCGCAUUCUGCCUUCAUCUUGGCCCUCUACUCUUCGGGACCCUGAACCAAGCUCACAAUAGCUAGGGGUCUUGAAGCCUGAGCAGGCUUACACAGGGGUUUGCAGAGUAAGUGACUGAGAGAGUGUGCGACUGAAUGCAGUUUCAGGGGCAUGCUGAGAGAACAAGCAGGGGGCACUUCCUUGCUUCUGCUCCCCCCCACCCUCUACCCCCAUCUUUCUAAACUGACCCCAUGAUAGACAGAGAAUGUUGUCUGGUUUUGUUGGCAGCUCUGCCUAAUUAUAACACACUGAACUCUCCACCACCCCUUCUUGCAAACUAGACUCUCAAGCCUGUGCUGACUUCUGCCUGUGAGGGGGUGAAACACACCUCCACCUGCUUUGAUACAUGCUGUCUAGAGUCCCUCCCUUUGCUUCCAUCUCAUUCUUUCACACUCUAAUUGAAACUCACUUCAUCUUGUUUGGUCUAGACUAGAGAUUCACGGGGAGGGCUCCGCUGAAGGGGGACGAUUCCAUACAACAGGGAGCUCAGGAGGUGGCUGCCUCCAGCUGUGUGGGCUGUGCCAGGCUCUCUGCUUUAUGAUGACAGAGCUCCCGGGAUCCUGUAGCUCAGCAGACCUGACUCCAAGGAACCUGGUACAGAAGUUGCCAUUAAGAACAUUCUGCUCCUUUUGCAUACCUCAAUACUUAGCAAUCUGUCAAGUUUACCUAAGGGCACCUGGGACAGCUGAGGGCUCUCCUGAAUUUAAAUUGCUUUCGGGUGAGUGCUGCCAGGCUUAAAUUAGGUUGACAGAAUUCCCGGCCCAGAAAGUUUGAUAGCAGUUUUCACUUGAGAGGCGGCUUCCCAGUGUGGAUAACUAUUUCCUUGUCCUGGUCUCGGGGACAGAGGGACCUCCCAAGCUACUCGAGCAUGACAUAAAUCAUUCACUCUGCAUUUAGUCUGGACUCACACUUCAGGGUAGCCAGUGAUAGUGAAGCAACUCCCAAACCCACACUACACCCCAUUGUCUGUGUUCUGAGUCUUAGUGUUCUUGGGAGGGAGAAAAACGUAUAAGAAGCAAGGAAAAGAACCGGAAUUUUUCUCACCAGCUUAAUUUUAGCCGAUGCAUAUAUGAACUCACAAACAAAUAAGAAGUAGCAAGACAUUCUCAAGAAAGAUGUGUCCCUGGGCUUCAUCCCUAUUGGGUCCAAACCCAUUUGCUGGAAUCCAGAGGCAGCUCGUGACUCACUUUUGUGCCUUUUUUCCCCUAUAAUAUUCUGGGUUUUCAAGUCUCUUUUUUCACAUUUCCUGUAAACAAUGCAUCUCUUUUUUUAAAAAAGAUUUUACUUUUAAGUACUGUUUUAACAGUGUGGCUAGACUAUAAAUGUACUUGCUGAAUUCAUCCAUUUCUUUAACAAGCCAAUAAAGUUUUAUGAUUC